rnacentral:lncRNA from 1 species
GGCUCUUUCUCAUGCAACAGAAAAGCUCUCCAAUCUCUCAGUGGCUCCAUUAUGCAGAGAUCAGGUCAUCAGUAAAAAUGAUUGUUCACAAGUAAUUCUUUUACAGGAUCCCUUUUAUAAUUUUCCGGAAAGGCUUUCAUAAUUUUCAUGCCUUCUGCUUUCGUUAUGUGGACUUAGAAAUAAUUUAAGGUACAUAGACUAUAGCAGCCAAACACAUGUUGUGUCUUAUGGAUAGCUGGCUGAAUAUAUAUGGUUAGUAGCUCAAAUGCUAGAACAUAUCGUUCAGUUAAAAUAAAAGCUAAACAAAAGUUGAAAUUCUGGUUAUUAACAUAUACUCCCUCCGUCCCAAAAUAAGUGUCUCAACUUUGUAAUAACUUUAGUACAAAUUUGUACUAAGGUUGAGACAGAUAUUUCGGGACAGAGGGAGUACUUUUGUUUUUUCCCAUGUCAGGUGACUUCGUCUUUCCUCACCCCUUCCUAUAGAAGGCACUCAAAGUGCUGUCAAAUUAGCGCCGCAAGGAGUUACUUAUAGACGACAUUUUGCCCAUGAUUAUAGCCAAUUUCUCAUCUGAACUCAUUUAAUUGUGCUGUCUGACAUAUACUCCCUCCGUCCGGAAAUACUUGUCAUCAAAAUGGAUAAAAGGGGAUGUAUCUAGACGUAUUUUAGUUCUAGAUACAUCUCUUUUUAUCCAUUUUGAUGACAAGUAUUUUCGGACGGAGGGAGUAUUUCUUAUCUUCCUCAAGGCCACUUUUAUCUGAUAUUAUCCAGAUAGAGAAUGUCGAUGAGCUCUGUAAAGUAUUGGUUCUAGUAUUAAGGCAAGCUGCUGGAACAUUUGUAGGUAUUGUUUUUCUCUGCAGAAGAAUAAUCAUAGCUAUGAUCCUAAUAUGUGAUUAGUUAUGCUAAAUGGUUUUCUGUUUGCUAGCUCACAUUCUUCUGGUCAGUUGAUUUGCCAUCAAACUAUUAGGAAGUACAUCAUAGAAUAGAGAGACCUUUGUCACAUUCAGUUCAAGGGAUUGCUUUGUUACUCCACCUAAAGAAAAUUUGCACAUACCUUAAAAGUAGAACUCACUAUCUGACACCAGGUGCAAAUCUUCUCAGUUAGUACCAAGUGAUUGCAAGUUGCUUAGGAGAAGCUUUCCAUGUUUGCUUCUGUUUUGGAUGAGAACUCGCACGUACAGAACUUUUAUUGCCAGUGGUAUAUUUCAUUGAAGGAUUUAGUGGCGAAGAAUGCAUAUAUGAAUUUACAUCUUAUCACGGUGUAUAUCUUCUCUGAAUCACACUGCUGUUUCAUAUUCAGGUGUUAAGGAGAACACAACAAAGGAAAAUUAGAUCGAUCAGAGAGUUGCCUUGCUUCAACAAACCAUGGCAUGGAAGCAAUUCAGAAACAACAUGAUGGACAAGUGUGCUCAACAGAAAACAGUUUAAC